AACGAACGCUGGCGGCAGGCUUAACACAUGCAAGUCGAGCGCCCCGCAAGGGGAGCGGCAGACGGGUGAGUAACGCGUGGGAAUCUACCCAUCUCUACGGAAUAACGCAUGGAAACGUGUGCUAAUACCGUAUACGUCCUUCGGGAGAAAGAUUUAUCGGAGAUGGAUGAGCCCGCGUUGGAUUAGCUAGUUGGUGGGGUAAAGGCCUACCAAGGCGACGAUCCAUAGCUGGUCUGAGAAGAGGAUCAGCCACACUGGGACUGAGACACGGCCCAGACUCCUACGGGAGGCAGCAGUGGGGAAUAUUGGACAAUGGGCGCAAGCCUGAUCCAGCCAUGCCGCGUGAGUGAUGAAGGCCCUAGGGUUGUAAAGCUCUUUCACCGGUGAAGAUAAUGACGGUAACCGGAGAAGAAGCCCCGGCUAACUUCGUGCCAGCCGCCGCCGUAAAAC
rnacentral:rRNA from 1 species